UACGUAGGGUGCGAGCGUUAAUCGGAAUUACUGGGCGUAAAGCGUGCGCAGGCGGUUUUGUAAGCCAGAUGUGAAAUCCCCGGGCUUAACCUGGGAACUGCAUUUGGGACUGCAAGGCUUGAGUACGGCAGAGGGGGGUAGAAUUCCUGGUGUAGCAGUGAAAUGCGUAGAUAUCAAGUGGAACACCAGUGGCGAAGGCGAGUCUCUGGACAUUUCCUGACGCUGAGGCACGAAAGCCAGGGGAGCAAACGGG
rnacentral:rRNA from 1 species